rnacentral:rRNA from 1 species
AACGAACGCUGGCGGCAUGCCUAACACAUGCAAGUCGAACGAGACCUUCGGGUCUAGUGGCGCACGGGUGCGUAACGCGUGGGAACCUGCCCUUAGGUUCGGAAUAACUCCCCGAAAGGGGUGCUAAUACCGGAUAAUGUCUUCGGACCAAAGAUUUAUCGCCUUUGGAUGGGCCCGCGUUGGAUUAGCUAGUUGGUAGGGUAAAAGCCUACCAAGGCGACGAUCCAUAGCUGGUCUGAGAGGAUGAUCAGCCACACUGGGACUGAGACACGGCCCAGACUGCGGGGGGAGGGAGGAGGGGGAAAGAGGGGACAACGGGAGGAGGCCGGAUCAAGCAAGGGGGGGUGAGGAAAGAAGGCUGUAGUUUGGUAAGUAUUUUUCACGCGGUAAAAUAAGACCAGAACCGAGAUCGAAGGCGCCGGGCAAGGACGCCCCAGCGGAGGCGGUAAUAUGGGGAAGAGCAUCCUGCUAAAC